CAUCCUUUGAAAACUCUAGAGAUAGAGCCUUCCCCUUCGGGGGACAAAGUGACAGGUGGUGCAUGGUUGUCGUCAGCUCGUGUCGUGAGAUGUUGGGUUAAGUCCCGCAACGAGCGCAACCCUUAAGCUUAGUUGCCAUCAUUAAGUUGGGCACUCUAGGUUGACUGCCGGUGACAAACCGGAGGAAGGUGGGGAUGACGUCAAAUCAUCAUGCCCCUUAUGAUUUGGGCUACACACGUGCUACAAUGGACAAUACAAAGGGCAGCUAAACCGCGAGGUCAUGCAAAUCCCAUAAAGUUGUUCUCAGUUCGGAUUGUAGUACUGC
rnacentral:rRNA from 1 species